rnacentral:lncRNA from 1 species
UUUUGAAGAUAGCGGUCCCAGUUGGAGCAAAAGAAAAUAAGUUAUGGACUAGCACUAGUAGUGAAGACGUAGUGGUGAAGAGGGAAGAGAUAGCGAAGGCUGUAGAGAUUUUGAUGGGAAGUGACCAAGAGAGCAAAGCAAUGAGGGUGAGAGCAAAGAAACUUGGUGAUGCUGCCAAGAGGACUAUAGAAGAAGGUGGAGAUUCUUACAACAACUUGAUUCAGUUGAUUGAUGAUCUGAAAUCAUUGAAGAAAUCUAAACCACUUGAUGAGAAAGUGAUUAGAUAAGUCAAAUGAAGGAGUAGUGGUUGAUGCUUUAGGAGAUGUAUCUGAUGAAGACUUUCAAUAAGAUGAAACAACAUCCCCUUUUUUUUCUUUUCUUUUUUUCUUUUCCAGCUUAUGUUUGCUUUUAUAUGUAUUCCAAUAAACAACAUCCAAUUCUUGUGCAUUGCAAUGAGGAUAAAGGAAGUUAGUUUUUAGUUUUUACUAAGCCUUUUUCAUAUUAAGAUAGGAAAAGAUGUGAUGAUGAAUUAAAUUUUGUUGUCUACUUGGUUUGCUUGAUAAUAUUUACCAUCUUGUAGUUGGUGCGUGUAAGGGAGGGAAUCAUCCAUUCAUCUCUUUCUCCAUUUUGAUUGGGCAAAGGAAAUUUGGUUGCGUUUGAUGAGGUGGACGAAUCGGUGGUUGUUAAUUUCUCCGAAUUUGUUUAUUCAUUGGGAGUGUUGGAACUUGGGAGGCUACCAUAAGAAGGUUAGGAAAGGGUGGAGAUUGAUUUGGCAAGCGGCGAUAUGGAUUAUUUGGAAAGCACGAAAUGAUCGUGUUUUCACUGGUGGUGGUAAAGGAGUUGACGAUCUAGUUGAAGAGAUUCAACUACUUUCGUGGAGGUGGCUUUUGAGUAGAACGGAUUUUCCGGCUUGUUUGCUUUACGAAUGGCAAUGGUAUCUGGAGGAGUGCUUGAGAAGGUAAGGGUGUGGGGGCUGUUUUCGAGGUGUUUCGUCGCUUGGAAUAUUUUGGUGUCUGUUCUGCUGCUCGGAAGCUGCGUGAACAGCAGCUGUGUGGUGCUGCUGGUUUCGGCAGUUGGCAGCAGCAGAGGUAAGGUUUUUUCUGUUCCCUGCUAUCUGUUUUUUUGGGGCCAAGGGGGUCUGAUUUGCUGCUGUGUGCAUCUGUUUGUGUAAGGGCAGGGGUAUGGGACUGAAUUCUGAUGGUGUUAAUUGGAUUUCAGAAUCAUAGCUUGUGCUGUCUUAGGCUUGACAGUUUUAUUUCGAGUAAAUAGUCAAUUGCCCCCCUGAAAUUGUAAUUUUUGUCAAAAACCCCCUUGAAUUUUGCAAAACGUCAAAAACCCCCCUGAAAUUGUUACACGUAUUGGCGGAAUCCUUGUAUCGUUUUUCUCCACCUCUAAGCGUCUUGCUAAGAGUUCCGGUUCCAAUAGAAUUUUCCGUUUCAAAAAAAGAAAAAUUUUAUGAUUUCAUUGGUAAUAUUAAUCUAUCACGUAUAUAUUUUAGGGUUAAAUAUGAUUUUGGUCCCUAUAAAUAUACCAACUUUUCGUUUUAGUCCCUCUAAAAUUUUCCAUCUUCAUUUUUGGUCCCUCCUUUAAAGUAAACUCAUAUGUAGAAUUCAUAUUUGUGAAUAAAAUUUUGCAGAAAAAUUCAUAAUAUUAUAAGAAUCUCUCCCAAAAAAAUUUAGAAUUUUUUAACAAAACAUGAAUUUAAUAUGAAUUUUUAUAUUUUUUAUGGUUAAAAAUUCAUAUUAAAUUUAUGUUUUGUUAAAAAAUUCUAAUUUUUUUUGGGAAAUAUUUUUACAAUAUUAUACACAUUUCUGCACAAUUUCAUUAAAAAUACUAAAAUUAAUUUAAAAUAUUUGGUAUAUUUAUAGGGAUCAAAAAUAUAUUUAACCCUAUAUUUUAUACACUGUAUAAUUCUGGGGCAAGUAAAGUAUAUGUAUAAAUGGUAAAUCUUACCUAGAUUCCAUUAAUCCAAUAAAUCAAGACUACAUGAGUUAGUUAUGGCUUCUGUUAUCCACAUUAGCAGACAUUUAAUUGAACGUAUUGCUCACAAUUCACAAACAAUUCAGGCUCAAAUUUUAGUUAAUGAAAGAUCAUGGUUCCACUCAAGUAAAAUGGCCCAGCUUGGUAAAGCAUAUGAUGAAGCUGGUCUAACUGUAUUUAUUUUUCAUAGCCUAAAAUCACAAUGCCAAACUUAUAGCUAAGACUACCCUUAAUUAUCCAUAUCCAUAGCCCAUAUACAAUUCCACCUUGGUUAGUAGCAUUACCAAUGAAUGAAGGUAUUCCAAAGUCAGCCAGUAUUACUAAAUAGAAACCAUGCUUCAAUUUUCAAUUCUACUAUAACCUACAAAAGCAUCAGAGUUUUCCCACGACACACCCAGCAUCAGAGUUCAAUUCUCACCUUAGCACCGAUACUUUUGAUUAAAGACGUGUUUGGUGUCAGACACAGUGUGAUCAGUUAUGUUAUUUUUUCAAUUGCUACCGUUGACGAUGUGUCAUUGUCGUGUUUGAUGUCCGUAUUUGUGUCAUUGUUUCAUAGAUUAGCGUACAUUUUUUGUCAUUAUGCAAUUUUAUUAAUAGUUUUCUCAUAAGUUAUGAGUCAUAACACACCCUAUAUCAGAGCUCAAUAUUUACAAUUUUUUUGACAUAAUUCAAUCUUAUGCGCAACGCACGGGUCUUAAUUUAGUUUUUUUUUUCUCUUCAAAAAAUUAGAUGAAAACCUGUGCGUUGCGUGCACGGAAGAAUAUUUUUAGCUUAUUAUAUUUAAAAGUCGUAUACUGAGGUUUCUGGACUUGAAAAAAAAAAUAUAGGACGUAUCACGCAAAUAAUUGGUCCGGUACUCGAUGUAGUUUUUCCACCAGGGAAGAUGCCUAAUAUUUACAACGCUCUGAUAGUUCAAGGUCGAGAUACUGUUGGUCAAGAAAUUAACGUAACUUGUGAAGUACAACAAUUAUUAGGAAAUAAUAGAGUUAGAGUUGUAGCUAUGAGUGCUACAUAUGGUCCUUUUCUUGUUGUUUGAUACUUAUUUUCUUGCUUUUUUCUUGGAAUAUUUUUAUCAAAGUGACGAACCACAAGUAUGAAAUUAGUAUCAAAGGAUUGUAGCCUAAAAUAAAUGAAAGAAACAAUUGUUUUCUUUUAAACAUACACUUGGACACUGGGCAAGUGUUUGCAAGUGCUCUUGAUCAACCCCUUAAAAUGUGUAUGAAAGUAAAACACAAAAAGAACAUAUAAUCACACACAGAUAGUGAACUAAUUAGAUAUAAAAAUGUUAUUUAUCAACUAAUUAAAUAAAUUCAAAGGUGUCUCUGUUUGUGUGGCGCGUUCUUCGUAACAGACUUCCUACUAAAGAUAAUUUGGUGCGGUAGAGUGUCCUUCAACCUAAUGAUACGGCGUGUGCAACAGGGUGUGGGAAUUCAGUAACGGAAAAAUAUCUAUUUCUAGUAUGUGAAAUCUUCGGUACUCUUUAGUGUACUCUUUAGUCCCAUGUGUGGCACUGGUUUAGUAUUUCCUCGGUUCCUUCUGGUGAGCAUCGAUAUCAUUUCCUUCAGUUUACAAAUAUGGCGGGAAUGCUAAGAUUUUCUCAUUUAUUCCUAAUGAUUAUUUGGUUUGCUUCCCUUUGGAUGAUAUGGAAGGAAAGAAAUAAAUUUGUCUUUCAAAAUAAGGCUUCUAAUCCUUCUAUUCUCAUUGAAAAAGUUAAGCUAAAUUCAUUCUUGUGGUUGAAAUCAUAACAUGUGUCAUUUAGUUAUAGUUAUCAUGACUGGUGGAAACAUCCGCUCCUUUAUAUGGGUGUCACGUGUAAUCUUUUUGUCUGUUAUGUUGGUGCCUUCAUAAUUUCGGCACCUUGACUUUGUAAAUAUUUGUGGUUGCUUCACCUUUUGCAUGCCUUGUGUGGGAUGAAUCAUCUUCGUUUAUAAUAUAUCUCAUUUUAGUUUGUUAAAAAAAAAAAUUAGGCAUGGUUGCUAAGUAGAUUUAAGAAUGUGUAUAGAAUGGCCUCUUGUUUUCUUUUAAUGGAAAGAAGAAUCAUAUAAUCACACACAAAAUGGAAUUAAUUGGAUAUCUUAUUCUAAGAAACGUUUAUUGGAUCCAAGAUGUUAUCAAGUUUGACCAAGAGUAAAAACUAAAUAAGAAAUGAGAUGGGAUCAGAAUAAGUAGGAAUAGGAUUGUGAUGGUGAGAAUUUGCAUUCUUAGAUUCUGAUGAGGUGGGAUCACUAUAGAGUUGGGAUCUAAUUACACCAAAUCUCAACCAUUAAAUUUAUUUGAUCACACGGUUAAAAAUAUAUCAACAAAGGAAAUUACAACAAGAACACAUCACACUCGAUCACAAAAAUAAAUUGAUCGUAAGAUCUUCUUCUUCCCUGGUUAACCUCUCCCCAUCACACCAAUCUGCCAUUAUGACAAGAAAACAAUUAUCCUCUAAAGCAUUGGAUCCUUUGCAUACUACAUAUUUUCACGGUAAAAUCAAGAACUCUUAGAAAAAAAAAUGCAUCAAUUGUUACCCUUUUCUUAGAAUCAGUAUUUAUAGAGAGAUUGGCCCAAUUUUAUUUCAAUUAAAAAAUUGAACGGUGGUUAAAUCUUUCAUUGGAGUUAUUUUGUCACUUUGCACCUGUGAAAGGAACAAUUGGAAUUGUGAAAAUCAAUACUUUCUUAGAAAAGGAAAACAUUGAAACAAACCAGAGAAUUAGGUCACUUGAGUUUCAAAUGUGGAAUCAUGUGUAGCUUAAUUAGUAGAAAGAUAUUCAAUAAAAGAACAUGAUGUUUAUAGCUGUGAAUUAAUCGAUGAUCGGGCAAGAAUAAACUGAUACAGUGAUUCAAGCUAGUUAUGCAAUGGUGGUGUUUAUGUUCAACGUGUAACUCUUUUUGGUGAUCUAGUGUACCGUGUUCUUAUUGUUUCCUUUGUUAAUAUUUUUUUAACCGUGUGAUCAAAUAAAUUUAAUGGUUAAGGUUUGAUGUAAGUCUUUUGACUUAUACCUGGUGUAGCGGAUCCUAACUAUAUAUAUAUAUAUAGGCAAUAAAAGUCUAAAUCCAUCUAUUUCACAUAUUUUCUGUUUUCUUUCGUUUGUUUUUGUGAUUUCAUCGUCUCUGAACGACUCUGUUUGUUUUGAUUUUCUGUCUUAGUGCGGGGUUCAUUUGAUUCAGGUUGAAAGAUUAGCUUUGAGCAAGUGCAGAUCCGAUCAAUGACAAUGACUUUGGCGUCGUCAACGUUGCAGAUCCGGAGACAUGAGUAUCCCGGAGACAUGAAUAUAGUCAUAUUAGUCAUAUUUGUAGGCCUAGGUACUUUGUCGUUUUAUGCGUGCUAUUAACAUGGAUGAUGUGAGUUUGUUCACAGAUUCAUCCUUUUUGUUUUUAGCGAAUUUGAAUUUGUAUUUAUCGAUAUACUCUAUCAAUUUGAAUGAAUAAAUAACAUUUAUUUUUGUAAAAAAAAAAAAAAAAAGUCCAAACUCAUCUUACUACCUAUAAAGAAUUUAAAAAUAAACCUCAAACCUUAUUUCAUUGGGGCAUUUCAUCAAAAAGUUUAAACAUCAUUCCUAACUUCAAAGAUUGGUUAACCACAAAAACUAAUGAUUAUGUUAACUUAAUUAUAUAUAUUAUUCCCUCCAUUUCAAAAUACAUGUCACAUUUGUAUAAUGCGCACUAUUCACAUGAUUUAUUUUGACCAUGCUUUUUAACUAAUAUAUAAAUACAAAUAUUAGCAUGUAAAAUGUUAUAAUUUGAUUUGUCUCAAUAAAUAUUUUCAAAAUAUUAAUUUUUUAUAAUUUUUUACUUCAGAUAAUUGAAAAUAUUAACGGUCAAAGUUGUGCAUUGACAUGUGUGAAGUGAUUGACUGCGACACAAAUUUUAAAACAGAGGGAGUAUCUCUUAUUCCUAAACAAAGCUUUGUUGCCCUAAUUUUAACCUAAUAUUUUAAACUAAUAUUUUAGCAACUUUUCCCUCCUUCAAAACCUAACCAUAUUUCCUAAUUCCCCUCCUCCAAACCCUAAGAGUGUGUUUGGAUGAGGUAAUUUGGAAAUUUUAAAGAAUUUAAAAUUCUAGGCAAUUAUCUCAAAGUAUUUGAAUUCCCUCAUAACAUUACAUUUCCUUAACAUUACAUUACAUUCCCCCAUCCAAACAAUGGAAUUCACCUCAAAGUAUUUGAAUUCCCUCAUAACAUUACAUUCCCUCAAAACAUUCCCCCAUCCAAACACACUCUAACAAUGAUUUUCUAACUUCGCUCCUCCUAAAACCUAUCUAAUUGAUUUCCAUAAACCAUAUCUCCUAACUCCCCUCCAAACUCUCACCAAUAUAUUUUAAUCCUUUCUCCUAAACCGAAAUCUCUUUCUAAAACCAUACCUUUCUCUUAAGUCGAAAUUUCUUAAUCAACAUGGCUUCCAGAAACAUUCAGACUUUGCUGUCAAACUACUGCCUCAUGGUAACCAUAUCUUCAUUUCACUCUGGUUUAUACUAAAUAUAUAGACUUUUGCUCUUAUUCCUUGCUGUUGUAAAGUAUAAAUCAUUCUUUCCAUCCCUUUUAAUCUUUUGUAGGUCCGUUGGUGAAAAACCCUAUUUCCGAUCUUGACAAAGCAAUCAACAAGCUGAGACUGAAAUACAGAUCAUAUAUCGUUGAAUAUGACAUUGAUGCUGUAUGUGUUUUUUGCAAAAUAUACCUAUUCUUAAUUAUUUGCAUUCUAUUUUAUCAACUUUUGUGAUGUUUUUGUUUGUUAUUUUUUUAGGGUGCAGUAUGCUUGCCAAACAUGUUUGGCGGUGAUUUUGGAGAUCAAAUUGGGCGCUAUGCAAUAUUGACUGAUCCACUUUUAUUCUUUAACUUCUUUUAUUCCUUUUCCGCUUAGUUGAUAUAAGUUACAUGGAUUUCUAAUUUUGCAGAUUCUACUUUACACCGGCAAUGUUCCGCAAAUGCUUGAUACACUCAAGACAACUGUGAAUAUUAUCGACGAUUGCGCUAACUUAUGGGUGUGUGAGCUAACUUUUGCAACUUUUCCUUAUGAACACUUCAAGAUAGGAUGGCGUUGGAAUAGGUUUGUGGAAGCUCGCAGGCUCCGUGAAGGUGUGAGAUCAGAGGGGGUGCUCCGAUGGUUGGGUCACAUGAUACCAUCUACCUUGAUGUUAUUUACAAUUAGUCCAUGUUUAGAUAAAUUGUGCAACACCUUUCCACUUUGAAUUUUAAGUUUUAGUUUCUUAGAGUUUUGGAAGCAUCUAUUUUUUUGUCUUUGAAUUUAGCAAAUGUCCCUUGAAUUUCAGAAAUAAUUUAGUCUUGCUUGCUUUAGUUUUUGAUUUAUAUAUUUGUGUUUGUGCUGCUCAAACUAUAUUUAGUAGCAUUGCUGUGUUAUUGAAGCAUUUUAGUAGCAUAGCUUUUAGUAACAUUAUUAGUAACAAUUACUACCUUUUGGUGACACUUUUAGUAACAUUAUUACUUACAAUUACUAAUCCUAAUCUCUAAAAUAUGUUUUGGGUGGAAUCAAACUAAAAUCCUAAUCCUAAUUUCUCUCAUUCAAGUAAUUAAGAAAUUUCAUCCACAUCUCUAAAGUAACUUUUUGGUGGAAACAAACUAAUUAAAAUCCUUAUUUCUCUCAUUCAAAUAAUUACGGGAUUUCAUCCACAUCUCUAAGAUAUGUUUUGGGUGGAAACAAACUAAAAAUCCUAAUUCCUCUCAUUCAAGUAACUACUAAAGAUUUCAUCCACGUCUCUAAAAUAUUUUUUAAGUGGAAACAAACUAAAAUCCUAAUCCUAAUUUCUCUCAUUCAAGUAACCAAGAGAUUUCAUCCACAUCUCUAAAGUAACUUUUUGGCGGAAACAAACUAAAAUCCUUAUUUAUCUCACUCCAAUAAGUAGGGGAUUUCAUCCACAUCUCUAAAAUAUGUUUUGGGUGGAAACAAACUAAAUUCCUAAUCCUAAUUUCUCUCAUUCAAGUAACUAAGAGAUUUCAUCCACAUCUCUAAAGUAACUUUUUGGUGCAAACAAACUAAAAUCCUUAUUUCUCUCAUUCAAAUAAUUAGGGGAUUUCAUCCACAUCUCUAAAAUAUGUUUUGGGUGGAAAUAAACUAAAAAUCCUAAUUCCUCUCAAGUAACUACUAAAGAUUUCAUCCACAUCUCUAAAAUAUGUUUUGGGUGAAAACAAAUUAAAAUCCUAAUCCUAAUUUCUCUCAUGUAACUAAGAGAUUUCAUCCACAUCUCUAAACUAACUUUUUGGUGGAAACAAACUAAAAUCCUUAUUUCUCUCAUUCAAAUAAGUAGGGGAUUUCAUCCACAUCUCUAAAAUAUAUUUUGGGUGGAAACAAACUAAAAAUCCUAAUUCUUCUCAUUCAAGUAUCUAAGAGAUUUCAUCCACAUCUCUAAAGUAACUUUUUGGUGGAAACAAACUAAAAUCCUUAUUUCUCUCAUUCAAAUAAGUAGGGGAUUUCAUCCACAUCUCUAAAAUAUGUUUUGGGUGGAAACAAACUAAAAAACAUAAUUCCUCUCAUUCAAGUAACUACUACACAUUUAAUCCACAUCUAUGUUUUGGCGAGUCAACUAUGGUAAUUCUUAAGUCAAAAAAAAAUGCCCCAUCAAAAAUAUUAAUUUCAUUUUAUACAUAUUAAUCUUUAUCCAAAAAUGUUGAGCAUAAUUUUAUUCCACUUCAACUAGAUCCCUUUGUUCUGCGCCCCUUCCCUAUUUACAUGUCAAUUCUUAAGUAAAACAAAGUGCCCCAUCAACAAUAUUAAUUUCAUUUUAUUCAUAUUAAUCUUUAUCCUAAAAUGUUGGCCACUUCCUAAUUUUGUUCCACUUUUUUGUGCUUAUCCUGAUAACUAAUACUCUUUAUUGCUAAACCGACAUAUCCUACUAACACGUAUUGCACCUUUUUCCUUCAAGUUGCUCUGUCAGCUAUAUUUGCUUAUCUAUGGAAACUUUUUCCAGUCCACCUAAAUAAAUUUAUUCAUUGGCAUAAGUAUUAUUUCAAAAAUUUAUUAUCAUUGUCUUUUAUCAGCGCUUCGACCUCUAAAAGUACAAAAUUUAUUUUUCGAUCUACCUCCGAAAGAUGUUAAUAUUUUUCUGAAUGUUAAAAAAGCAAUAGAUAUAGAGAUUUAGAUCCAUAUUGUGCUUUUAUGAAUGUUACUUCAAAAUUAACUCGUGGUAAUUGUGGAGUGCAAGCCUAACAUGCACCCCUCCAAAGUCACUCUAUCCAUGACGAGGUUUACCUUAAUUUUGUAGAGACUAUUGAUGUUUCUGCUAAAUAUUUUUUCUUUCUUUCUUUUCUUCGGUGACUUGACAUCUUUUCCUUUUUAAGUAGACAGAAUGCUUGACAUGUCUUUUAUUAUGAAAUCUGUUAUACAAAUUGUCUUUGAUCUAUAGUCUAAGUCGUGCUUGAGUUGUCAAAGAUGAAAAUGUAAAUUUGAUCAAUAUUCAAUGUUUAUAGUUUCUUAUGUUAGGACAUCUGUAAUAUGGGAGGAUGGUUGUUGUGCAAAUAAUUCAUUCCUUUAGCCUGACAAGAGCGAAGUAAAUUUACAUUGAAUAGAGGAAAGUGGUAAAUAAUAUCUAAAAUUAAAAUGACAGAUUUUGGAGAUCACCUAAAUAGUAAAAAAUAUAUAAUAAUACAAAUACACAAACUGAUGUUUUUCAUUUUACAGAUACUUUACAAUAAUCAUAUACAAACUGAUCUAAAGCAAAUGGUGAACAAAAAUACUAAAUAGGUGGAAGUUUUAUAGGUGGAAGUUGUAUCGCUAUUUUGUCCUUAUAUUAUAUAUAAAACACGAUGCAAACACUUGAAUAUAUUUCAAUUGGUUCCAUUCAGCACAUUGAUGAAAUAGGAUGUUAAUCCAUGUCGUGUUUUUAGCGUAUCCAACGUAAAUAUAAUGUUUGUAAGAGGUCUUUUAUACUCAAUAUUUUAUAGUUAGCUUAUAUCGAUCUUCCACGAAGUUAAAUGACAUUUGUACAAUCCUUUCUUUUUUUGGAUUAAUUUACCAUGAAGUUAGCUUAUAUCGAUUUUCCAUGUUAUGUUUACAGUUAUAUAUACUAUUGAAUUUCAAAAAUGUGGACUACCGCAUGCACACAUACUGGUGUUUUUGAAGCCAACUUAUCGGUGCAAGAAACCUAAGGAUCUUGAUAAGAUUAUAUCAGCAGAGAUUCCAAACAAAGAUACAGAUGGGGAGUUAUUUAAUAUUGUGACUACGCUCAUGAUUCACGGCCCAUGUGGUGACCAAAACACAAGAUCGCCUAGCAUGCUAAAUAAUAAAUGUAGCAAGCACUUUCCAAUGAAAUUUGUUGAUCAAACUGUGAUCGAUAAAGAUGGUUAUCCAGUUUACAAGAGAAGGGACAAUGGAGUUUAUGUAAAAAAAGGAGAGUGCUUUGCAGAUAAUAGGUUUGUUGUGCCGUAUAAUAAAACACUCCUCUUGAAGUACAAAGCCCAUAUCAAUGUAGAGUGGUGCAACCAAAUUCGGUCAAUCAAGUACCUUUUCAAAUAUGUAAACAAAGGACAUGAUCGCGUCACCGCAAACUUUUACGGUAAUGGAUGUGAAAAUAGUUUGGAUGAGAUAAAGAUGUAUUAUGAUUGUCGGUAUUUGUCCGCAUGUGAAGCGGCCUGGAGAAUAUUCUCUUUUGACAUAAAUUAUAGAGAACCUUCGGUGGAACGCUUAAAUUAUCAUUUGGAAAAUGAGCAUUCAGUUUUGUACGAAGAAAACGACGACAUUGAACAAGUCAUUGAGAGAUCGCAUAGAAAAACUACAAAGUUUUUGGCUUGGAUGAAAGCAAAUGAAAAGUAUCCAGAAGCUAGAAAUUUGACUUACAAUCAAUUCCCGACCCAGUUCGUGUGGAAGGAAAAAGACCACGAAUGGACUCCUAGACGGUGUGGUUUUUCGAUAGGGCGGGUCCAUUUUGCUCCGCCUGGUUCCGGCGAAAGGUUUUACCUAAGAACUCUCUUGAAUUACAUCAAAGGUCCUACAUCUUUCAAUGACAUGAAGACGGUCGAUGAUGUCAAAUAUAAUACUUUCAAGGAAGCCUGCUUCGCUAUGGGGUUACUCGAUGAUGACAAGGAGUUUAUAGACGCGAUAAUUGAAGCCAGUCUUUGGGGCACUGGUAUUUAUUUACGUAGACUAUUCGUAGCACUGAUGGUGACAGAUCAAUUUGCCAGACCAGAGGUCGUGUGGAAUUCUACAAACGAAAAUUUAAUUGAUGACAUACUCCACAAACAAAGGCGGCUUCUUGGAGCUCCAGGAUAAUUUUAGUGCAUAUUUAUUUUUUGUAAUUACAUAUGAAUUAUAUUGGUUCCUUCUUUUUUUUUCAAAUAAUUAUCCAUUUCUCACCUUACAUGUGUAUGUAUUUAAACCAAUAUAAAUACGGUUGUUUCUUCAGAUUACAUGCAAUGACAUUCGUGUAUCUAAUUUUGGUUCCAUGUUUGUGCCAAAUAUUUGUUAUACUCAUAGUUUGCUUAUAUUAUGAAGGAAAAACUAUUUACAUCACAGAAAUUUAUUUGUUCAAGUUUAAAAAAAAAAAAAUAACAUGCAUCGACACGUCUGUUUAUUAUGAGAAAUGACAUGAACAUUGUUGUUUUUACAUGGAUAUUUUCAAUUUACAAGUCACGCUGAUUUUUAACAAACCUUAUUUGUUUCCCAAAUUUACGGUUGACUCAUGAGCAGUUGAAGGCGUAUGCGUUGGCCGAACUAGAAACGAUGUUGCAAAGUUUUGGAAAGAGUUUGUCUGAUUUUCCUCCAAUGCCAAAGGCGGAUGCAUCUUUAGUACCGGAUGUCGAGAGUAGGUUGAUUCACGAUGAGAUGAGUUAUAAUAGGCCUGUACUAGCUGCUCAACAUGACCGGAUGAUGUCAACCAUGACUUUAGAGCAACGUAAUGUAUAUGAUAAAAUAAUGACAAGAGUUAAGGAAGACAAAUCUGGGUUGUUCUUCCUGUAUGGUUAUGGUGGUACUGGGAAAACAUUUAUUUGGAGGGCUUUAUGUGCUGCUUUGAGGUCUGAUGGUGGGAUUGUUUUGGCAUGUGCAUCAAGUGGGAUUGCUGCCUUGCUUAUACCCGAUGGAAGAACUGCACAUUCAAGAUUCGGUAUCCCUUUUACAAUAGACGAAUGCUCUAUGUGUGGAGUUACACCAAAUACACCGUUGGCAUCGCUGCUGAUCAAGGCUAAACUUAUCAUAUGGGAUGAAGCGCCAAUGAUGCACAAGCAUUGUUUCGAAGCACUUACCCAAUUGGGGAAAUCAAUGAUGUCGACAUAUCUGUUGUUAUCCCGUCCGACUUGCUUAUUCCAAGUUCAGGUAAUCCUGUUGCAUCUAUCGUUGAUAGCACUUACCCAAAUUUGUUAGGAAACAUUGGUAAAGCAAAAUAUUGGCGCCAAAGAAUACCAUUGUUGAACAGGUUAAUGAUUAUGUGUUCAACUUGAUUCCUGGUGAAGAAAAAAUCUAUUUGAGUUAUGAUACACCUUAUCAUAAAAACAUAGAUGGUGACGCCGUAGAUGACAUCCACACUCCUGAAUUCCUCAACACCAUUGUGGCGUCCGGAUUUCCAAAUCAUCGGUUGCGACUGAAAGUAGGAGCACCUGUCAUGUUACUCAGGAACAUGGAUCAAAGUUUGGGCUUAUGUAAUGGUACGAGAUUGAUCAUUACAAAGAUGGGAAAAUUCGUGCUCGAAGAACGGGUAAUAUCUGGUUCUAAUAUCGUUGAGAAGAUGUUUAUUCCAAGGUUAUCGCUAACACCAUCUGAUAAUAGAAUUCCUAUCAAAUUUAAACGAAGGCAGUUUCUGAUAUUUGUCUCAUUUGCAAUGACUAUUAACAAGAGUUAGGGUCAGUCGCUAGAACAUGUUGGUGUCUACCUACCGUCUCCUAUUUUUUCACAUGGACAGUUGUACGUCGCAAUAUCACGGGUUACUUCGAGGGGUGGUUUAAAAAUAUUGAUUGCUGACGACGACGGCGAUGAUAUCGAUGUUGCAUCAAAUGUGGUCUACAGAGAAGUUUUCCGUAAUGUGUAGGACUUUUUUGUGUACUGUUCAUUUUCUUACUUAUUGAAACUAUUUGCAUGUCAACGAACUUCAAUUUCCCUUUCAAAAUUAUAUGUUAUUUUAAAGUAACAGGAACUACGUACUAGAAUUAUGGAACAAUAACAAAGUCUUUGAUAUUGACAUUUUGCUUUGAUUCACGACAAUUUUUAGAUUCACGCGAACUACAGUGUCUUAUUUUUUCAGUGAAUAUUAUAUUUUUUAAAUGACACGUGUGUUAGCACGGGUCAAUGGUCUAGUAAAUAAUAACCAUGCAAUCGAAAAUAAAUGCACUAACAAAAUCAAAUUUUGAGCAUUCUACCAAAUGAGUUUUAUCUUUCUGUUGCUUCCCUCCUUUUUUUUUUCUUUUCCAUUUUCUCUUGCCAUAAUUGAUUUAGAGAGAAUUGAUUUAUGUUUGGAGACGAUAAUGUAUGAUUGAUUAAACAUAAUGGAUGUUUGAAUAGUUUUGAUCAAAAUUGCUUUUGAAUGUAUAAUUACUAAAAUGGACAUAACUGCAUACAAAUGAAUGGACAUAGUUGAAUGUAUGUGUAGAUCAAUACUAAAUGUAAAUAUAUUUUUUCUUUUGAAGGAAAAUGUAGAUAUAUUUUUUUUUGAAAGACUAAAUGUAGAUAUAUUAUUUAAUUUAAAUAAAUUUUUCUAUAUGUUAAUUUAAAAAAAUAAAUACAAUCAUUAAACCAAUUAUUUUUGACAAAUAUUUGUUCUAUGUAUUUUAUACUUUUUUAUAAAAUAUAUUUAAGUUAAAUAAUAAUAGAGUUUUGUCGAAAAUCAUAAAAUAUAGCGUCAAACUAAAAAAUACAGUAAAUCUGAACGGAGAAACCGUAAAGAAAAUUCCAAAAUUUGGUAACUCAUGACGAUAAAUAUUUUGUAGGAUUAAUUUGAAUUGUUAAAUUUUUUGAUUAAAUUUGGUUCAUCAAAUUAAAUAAAAAAAAAUAGAAUUGAUAAUGAGUUUAUUGUAUUUAUUGUAAUAAUAAGUAAUAUGAGGUAAACAUCAUAUGCACGGGAGGCUUUUCUUGCACAAAGGCGAUAAGCCCUAUACUACCAAGGAUAUUACUGAUAAGCUCUGUAAGCAAUGGAAAACAAAAUGUCCCUGGCAAUUAAUCUCCCUAGGCCGUGGAUUCUACGAAUUUUCAUUCACCUCGGAUGAUGAUAUGCGCAAUUCUUUAGCAUUGGGGACUGUUAAUCUCAAACCGGGUCUGUUGCGACUUUCACGUUGGUCCAAGGACUUUAACAAGUACUCUCAUAGGCUCACUCACGCUCAGGUAUGGCUACGACUACUUGAUUUACCACAAGAAUACUGGCUUGAAAGAACUUUAAUGGAAAUUGCCGGUGCGAUUGGAGCCCCACUUAUUAUUGAUGCUGCCACGCAGAAACACACUUUCAGUCAUUAUGCAAGAGUGCUGGUUGAUAUUGAUUUCUCUCGUCGGUUAUUUUAUGAAAUCACGGUGGAGAGGGAAGGUUAUGCUUUCCCGGUUGAGGUUGAGUACGAAUGGCUACCGGAUUUUUGCACGCACUGUCAAAUUUUGAACAAAGAUAGCAAUAAUGCCAACAAGGUACAGGACAAAGGUAAACAGCUAACCUUUCAGCAGAAACCGCAACAGACUAAGCAAUGGCAGCCUCUCGAAAAUCCUCACAGCAUUGGGUCCUCAAUUGCUUUUGAACAGCCGCCAUCUGUUUCUGCAGCACGGGUGAUGGAAAUUAUGGUGCCAAUUGCGGUGCCAGAGCAGUCUCCCGAGCAGCAUAUUCCCACAAUUUCUGAUCUGAUUGUUGCUAACUGCUAAGACAGUUAUUCAACCUGAAGUUUCUGCAGCCCUUGGCGCUAGUGUGACCGAUUUAGGUGAAAAAUCUGCAUUCUCGUAUCGCUUGGCGCUUGAAAACGUUACUGAAGAGAUUGUACGUAAUAAUGAUAUCCCCACUGUGGCUGAACCGGUGCUGAAUUUUCCACAUGAAUUAACAUCACAAACAGGCGCAUCUCAAUCCAAUGUGCAGGAAGGAAAUGACUGUGAUAAUGCUGACUUGAUUGUCAAAAAUAAUGCUGAAGUUGUCAGUAAGAGCGACACACCCAAAGAGAUUGCUCCGGAACAGCGGUUACAACAUGAAAUUGUUCCCACAUCAGUCGCACUUCAGCUCAAUGAGGAGGAGGGAUCUGAUGGUGAAAGUGAUGCCAAGGAAAUACUUGCUGACUCACCUGUGUCAAAGUCGCAUCCCUUCGCUACCGUUAUUCCGCAUCGCUGCCCUAUUAUUACUAAAGAUUUGGAAACAAUUCAAAAGGCCCUAGUUGGUUCGAAUGUGGAAGAUGAGGAUGGUUUUACCGAGGUUGUAUCUAAAAGCAGUCGGAAGAAGAAGAAAGGAUAUCAAACCCGCUCUCGGGGUCUGUUACCAAAGUCUUCUCAAUGAAAAUUCUUUAUUGGAACAUUAGAGGUCUAAAAAGAAAAGCAUCAUUAGAUGUGGUACACAAGCAUGGGCCAUGUUCCCAACUGAAUAAGAAAAACAAUGGCAAAGCAAAUAUUCUUCCAACAGACAGUGAUAUUCUUAAACUUGAUAAAGAAAGGGUGAACUAUAGUGUUCGUUCUUGUUACACACAGCAAGAUGAAAUUUUUGAUCCAUCAAAGUCUACUUUUAUUGCAAUAUUUCAUGUACAUGUAAACAUGAUUCAUUGUUCGAAUAGCUUAUGGAUGGGACAAUUGAUUCAACCUGAUUGGGACAUGUUCCAGUAACAUAUUUGUGCCAAAUUUCAUGCAGGUUCAAGAGCUAUCUGUGGUGGUCCAGUUUAUUUGAAUGAUAAUGUUGGCUCUCAUGCCUUUGAUCUGAUUAAGAAGCUUGUUUUCCCUGAUGGUAAAAUUUCGGACAAGCUUGCUAGUCACAGACAUUUUGUUACUGAUUUUGUUUGGUGGGAUAUUAUGCCCGAGUUUGUUUGGGGGGGAUUUCUUUAGGGACCGUGAUGGGUUACCUAAUUUUCGCUUUCCGUAAUUUUUUCUUUUUAUUCUCUUUUGAGGGUUUGGUUUGCCCCCCUCCCUCUUGUGAAGUUUUUCCCGUUUUUUCUAUAUAUAAUAUAUGAGUGAGCGGCAUAAGAUUUGAGUUCUCUAGGGGUGCCGACCUAGUCGGGAUGUCCAGCGGCUCCUUAAUGUCUUCCCUACCUUAGAUUAAGCAUCAUUUCCCCACCUUUAAAUUUUAUAUGUUUGAUUAUAAUUUUUUGGUAAAAUUUCACUUUUGGUAAUUUAAUUUAACUUCAGAUAAUGAUUUGAUCAUUUUCUUUGUUCCAUUUCACUUUUAUCCUUUCGGUGCAUUUGCAUAUGAAUUUCAAGUUUUAAAUCUAUAGUUUAUUUUCUUGUUACCUCCUAAUCUUCAAAUCUAUGAUCUUUCAUUCAUGUUUGCAUAUGAAAGUUAAAGUAGGUGGGAAAUUGUUACCUGGCAUAUAACACAAGGGUUUGUCCUCACAAAACCCCUCACUUAUUGCAAGGUGGGAAAUUGAAAUUCAAGAAUCUGCUGCAUGCAGGCUUGAAGUGACUAAAGUAGGUGGCUGUCAGGAAAAAACCAAGGGAAUAUGCCAAGGAAAGCCCUUGGGAUGGGAAAAAAGGUGAUGAAUCUCUGCUUUGUUUCUUGUUGAUUUGACAAGGCUCUGAAAAGCAUGUCCGGUCCAGUUGAGACAGGGGCAAUACCCCUCGUUUAUUGCAUGAAUCCCUGGCUUUUUUCCUGCCGUUCUGCUACUAUCUGGUACCUAGCUAUAUGCUAGGAUUUGACCAACCAUGCGAGGGGCAUUCCCUCGGAUAGGCCGUGGCUUUUUUUGCUCCCUAUAUAAAUUCAUGCACCGAUCAUGUAACAAACUUCACAACACUUAUAAAAUUUUCUUCACAUAAAACACAACACAUUCACUCAACACAUUCAACAAACUUCAUUUAUUUGGUAAAAAAUAUUUCAUUAAUUAUAUGUUUUAUCAUGAUAUUAAUUUUUACUACUUAUUAAUGUUAUUUAUUUUGUAUGUUAUUUGAAGUUCUGUUACUUAUCCGCCGCCUGUGGUUAGCUAUUGCUCCAACUCUUGCUGUUUUUGGAUUGCAUUGCAGAUCUGCUAUUGUAAAGCUUCAACAAGUUUGUGAUUUUUUUCCCUCAUAACACCAUAACUGAUAUACAUGUUGAUGAUAUGUUCUAAAAUAUGCUAGCUGUCCAUAAAUUGUUUUUUUUUUUCUUUCGAAAAUCUGAAGAAAACAAAUUUAAUUAUGAUUUUUUUUUUCGGUUUUUCAUAUUAUGCAUGAAUUUUGGUUUAUUUUAUUCGAAUUUUUCAAUGUUAAUUGUCGAGAAAUUGAUGCUGAAUAUAUGCAUGUUGUUAUGGGAUAUAUGCAUGUUCUUUUGUGAUAAAAUGAAAUAUAAAUAUAUGCAUGCUGUUUUUUUUUUUUUGUGAUAAAAUGAAAUAUGCAUGUUUUUUUUGUGAUAAAAUUAAAUAUAUACAUGUUGCUAAAUAUAUUGUUAUUAGGUGGAUUUUUAUAUAUUAUAUAAUAUGGUUUAUUUAGUAAAGUAGUUUCUUUUAUUUUUUUUUUUCUAAUUUAGGGAAACUCUAUUUUAAAUUUGUGUAGUAAAACAUAAAUUACAACAUAAUCUGUUUUAUCUAAUUUAGGGCAACUCUUUUUUUUAUAUUUUAAAAAAAAAACUGUUUGUUAAACAUAAUCUGUUUAAAAAAAUUUAUUAUUUAUUCAAUUUUAAAAAGUGAUUAUAACUAAAAAUAUAUAUAAAAAAAGAAUGUACUAAAAUGGUUUAUUGUUGAAAAACUGUUUUAUAAUAAAAGAAUAAAACAAUGUAACAAUGUUAUAUAAUAAAAAUUAAAAUCUGUUUUAAGAAUAUAAUAAAAAUAAAGCUGUUUUUUCAAAAAAUAAAUAAAGCUGUUUUUUUAACAAGUUAAAAUUUGUGUGGUGUUGCUUUAUUUAUAAGCAUUUAAUUGUGUUUUAAAAAAUAAUUUUAAUUUGUAUAAAAAAGAUAUAUUUUAUUAAUUAGAAUGAUUUUUGAACCAUUUAAUUUUAUUUCAAAAAUAACUUUUUAAAAAUAAAUUCGAUUUUUUUAAUUAAUUUAAAUACAAUUUAUUAAUUAAAAUUAUUUUUAAAAUAUUUAAUUAAUUAAUAAACAAUUUGUUUUAUAAAUAAAACAUUUAAAAAAAAUAUAUACCGUUUGCCAGGGGUUAAACACCUUGCAAGUCCCUGAUAUUUUGCUGGAUUGAUUUGACCUUUCACUAGCGCGUCAGAGUAGUUAGUGCAGUCAGAGCACGACUGCACAUUGUAGGAAAAAGUGAGGGAAUAUGCCAGGGAUUAUGACGCGGACAAAGUCAGGCCAUAUGCUAGGGGUUCAACCCCUCGUUUUAUUCCCAUGGGUGUAACCCCUGGCAAAAUGUUAGCGACGAGCGCUUUUGCCACUGCUUCCACCCCUGGGAAAUUCCCUCACAAACGUCCAUUUUCCCAGGGAUUUUGUCCUUUUGACAAGGGAUUUGCCCCUAACAAAAGGUAAUGUUUCUUGUAGUCUUUUUAGAUAAGCUACUCAAAAUAAAAUUAAUUGGAGGGGUGCACAAGGAGUUGAACCGCGAACACACAAUUCAAAUUAAGUGGGAAUGUACCGCUAGGAUGUGCGAAAAACAUAUAUAAGAAUAUACUAACAACAUAUAUUAUAUAGGUUUGAAUAUGCCUUUAGUCCUUGCACUUUCAUCAGAUUUUGGCAUUGGUCCCUACAUUUUUUUUUGUUUGGAAUUGGUCCCUGCACUUUGUAAAAAUAUUGGUAUUGGUCACUCAGUUAACUUUCUGUUAAAAAAAAACACAAAACUAUUUGUAUUGGUCCCUGCACUUUGUAAAAAUAUUGGUAUUGGUCCCUGCACUUUGUAAAAAUAUUGAUAUUGGUGCCACGUGGCACUCCGUUGGUUUUGUGUUUUUUUUUAACAGAAAGUUAACAGAGGGACCAAUACCAAUAUUUUUACAAAGUGCAGGGAUCAAUGCCAAACAAAAAAAAAGUGCAAGGACCAAUGCCAAAAUCUGAUGAAAGUGCAGGGACAAAUGACACAUUUAAACCUAUUAUAUAUAAUGAAUUGUUUAGGUUUAUUAUAUGGAAAAAAAAAAAAAGGGUAAUAAUCUGAUGUGUUAUAGUCACACUCAACCCUACGAUGGGUCCGCCUCUGCAACCAUGAGGAAAAAACAAUUCAUCAGUUUUUGGACAAAAUAAAACUACUAUCAUUUUGGCGCCUAAGACAAAACAUGUAAAUCUUGCUUUGUGAUCUAUUUUGGUGCAUCUUAUGUUAGGUAGAAUGCUUUUUAGACCCCAUUUGUUAUAGUUUUUUUAUGAAAAAAUUCAUUUUUUUUUUUAAAAAUAAUCACUUUGAAGAGUAUUACAUCUAUUUGUUACAACUUUUUAAAAAAUUCAGAAUCUAAAAACAAAAUAAUCUGAAAAAUAGCUUCAAAUGAGAAGCAGUUAAGAGCAGCUUCUCAAAAAAUAGAUUUUUUUUAGAAGAUAGAAAACAAAAUACUAGUCAAAAGAUUUAACUAAUUUUGUAACAAAAAAUUCAUUUUAUAUAGUUACAUCCAAACAAACCAAAUUACUUUUUAAAAAAAAUGGUUUUUAUUACUGCAAACAAAAGAAACAUAGAUUCUCAUUUGAGGGUUCUAGCAUGAGCGCCGUUUUUCAUUCAAUUUCCAAUCCGUCGUUCUUCAAUUCAGGUUAUAUUAUUCUUGGAUAAUUUGUUGCUUCUUGUUAGUGUGAACUGCACCGAUUGUGUUCGCUAUUGAAUUGGUGGCUUAGUUGCAUUUGAACACCAAUUCAAUUGGAUCACGUUUGUUCCAUUAGUUUUACGUAAUUGGAAAAUUCAUUGGAGAAUUGGAAGUUAGCAACAACACUCUAAUCCAAGACCAUUUUACGUGUUUGCUUCCCCUUUUUCCUUCUCUGAUCUCAGCCGCCAUGUUUGAUUGGCAGGCUGAGAUGUCUGCUAUCUCAAUCGCUCCAAAAGUUGCCACAACCCUUUCAGCGCCUGCCCCAUCGGUCUUGCCGAAGGUUUCGUUUGCACAGGCUCUUACGGCCUCCCAUCAGAUUGUCCCCAAUGUCAUGCCAACGCCAACAAUUAUGGGAGAAACACUAAGUAUCAAAAUCACACAGACCCUAUAUGAACGUGGAAUGAAUUUCAGUAAGACCAACCUAUGGGGACGUCUGGUUUUAAACAAUGGAGAGAAAGCCUAUUCUACAAAGGAGAUUGAAUCGAAAUUACAAAAGCACUGGAAGACUGCAGGUUCAUGGCGCAUGAUGUCUCUUGGAAGAGGUUAUUAUGAAUUCUUCUUUGCUUCAGAGAUGGAUAAAUGUGUCUGGGCAGCAGGCACAGUUAUGCAUGUUCUUUUUGAAUGGUCCAAGGAUUUCAAUAUGCAUACGCAGCGAAACACUCACGCUCAGGUUUGGAUUCGCCUGUUAGAACUUCCGCAGGAGUAUUGGAUGAAACAAACUCUCCGGGAGAUUGCAAGUGCGGUGGGAACCCCUCUUGUGAUAGACAAUGCGACAACAAAGAGAUUGUUUGGACACUACGCGAGAAUUCUAGUUGAUAUGGAUUUCACCCGUAAGAUUUUUCAUGAAAUUGUUGUUGACAGGGAAGGAUAUGCUUUCCCGGUUGUCGUGGCCUAUGAAUGGAUUCCCGACUUCUGUUCUCACUGUCAGAAUAUCGGCCAUGACGUCACUGUCUGCAGAAGACUGUAUCCUAGAAAGGAAAUCACAAAGGACAUAACAGCUGCCAAAGAAAUAAUAGCGCAUGGGAAAAAGCAAGUUCAGGCAACAAAAGAUACUUGGAUUCGAAGGACUGAAAACCCUUCAGGGAUCGGUUCUUCAAGAGCAUUUGGCGCAACACAUGACACUACUUCAGCACCGGGUCUUAUAGAAAGGAAAGGGAAGUAAAUGAUAAUCUUCAACAAGAUAUUCGUGUUACUGAGCAAGAAACAGAAGUAACAGCAAUUCCUCUACAAAUUGAACCACAAACGAACCAAGAUGAUGAAAUUCCGGCCCAAAUUGAUUUUCAUGAGGUGCAAGAGGAGGAUAUUGUUCCUGUCAGAUCAGAGGUUGUGCCUGUUGCUGUGCCGAUUCCUAUGCUUGAUGACCAAAAUCAUGAGGAAGAAAUACCUGACCAUAUAGAUGCAACCCCAACAGCAAACCAAGGGGCAGACCGCACAGACAUUACGGGAGGAAUUCCGUCACCUGUGGUAACUCAUACUUCUAGUCCUGUUAUUCAGAAUAAUAAUUUUAGUAUGCAGCUUGAGGGAAAUAAUCUUGAGGGAAAUACUAUAUCUGUUUUAUCUCCCGUAAAAAAUAAAACUCUUGAUAUCAGUAGUAUUGUGGCUCCGGAGGAUUCUAAGAUAGAUCCGGUGCAACAAAAAGACUUAGAUUUUAUGCACACUUGGCUAUCAAAGGCAGCAACAACCGAGGUACCAUUUACACAGGUUGUUUCCAAGUCUCAGAAAAAAAAAAGAAUAUGCAAAAAGUUUCGUAUAAAACCCGCUCUCAGGGUCCUCUUCCACCGUUUAAAUGAAUAUCAUUUUUUGGAACAUCGGAGAAUUGGUAAUCAUGAUUCCUGACUUGCUUUCUCUGAUUGGUGUCGGCUACAUAAUCCGUCAUGGUUAUUUAUUGCGGAACCUAUGGUUUAUUAUGCUUUUAUUCCGAGUUGGUUUUGGGGGAAUGUAUGUGUUACUAAGAAUAACAGGGAGCCUCUCAUUUCUUACAUGUGGUCGGUGUGAGGUUCUGACUCUAUAUAUACAGUAAUUUUUGUCUCUUCUUAGUCUGCAGAGGAACAAAAUUAUAUAUUGCAGGUAUUUAUGGAUGAUUAUUUGUUCUCAUAUUUUCCGUGAUGGAAAUGGUUGUGCGGCUGGCCUAGCAGCCCUAGGACAUGUCAUAGCUGAUGCUACUUGCUUCAUCAUUUUUCCUUCUACGUUGUUGGCGGACUUUGCACAUGACAGGAAUGGGCUACCAAACUAUAGAUUUCCUUAGUUUUUUCUGUUCCUUUUUAUUUCUGUUUUUUUUCCUUAAUUUUGAGGGUUUUGGCCUAGUCCCCUCUUUUGUAAAUAUUUUUCCUUUUUUUUAUUAAUAAUAUUACGUAUUGGGAAGGCGGUAGAGGAUGGAGGUUUCUGUGGGGUGCCAACCUAGUUGGGAUGCUGCAGAUUCUCCCGGAUGCCCAACCUUUCUCUUGGUCUUAUCAAAAAAAAACAUAGAUUCUCAUUUUUCAUAAAAUCUCUAAAAAAUAAUCUAUAAAUAAUUUUACGUGAAAAUGACUUUUAUUUUAAUCCAUAACAAACGGGCUCUUAGUUGGUAAUAUAUAUUCUACUUUGGAAUGUCUGAGAUUCAAGACACCACCAAAAAAUAUAUUCUAUUUUGACUAGGUUUUUUUUUGACAAAACUAUUUUGAAUAGUUAAGAAAAGGCUUGUGGAAUGCACAUUUUGGUACCAAGCACUUCGUGAUACUCGUGUGUCUCGCCUCUCACGAGAUAAACUGGUGGAUGGACGUUUUACUCUUAUUUAUUAUGUGGUGAAUGUCACGUGCUUGUAAAUUAAAGCAUGUGGAUCUGUUAUACUGUACGAAGGAAAAGUUACUUUAACGUAGCUACCUUAAAUCACGGAAGAGGCUGAUGACAAAUGCUUAUUAUAUAUAAGCAAAUGAAACUGAUGUACUUCAUUGGUACCUACCAUUAAAUAUCAACUCUCCCAAAUCCUAAACCCUAAACCCUUAACAGAACCAAGCAACAAUGGAGUCUCAACAAUCCCAUAACAAACUUCAUGUUGUUUUUCUUCCAUUUCCAACUCCUGGUCAUAUGAUUCCUAUGAUAGACACAGCAAGACUAUUCGCCAUGCAUGGUGUUAAUGUUACCAUCAUCGCUACACAUGCCAAUGCUUCAACAUUCCAAAAAUCUAUAGACAGUGACUUCAAUUCAGGAUACUCCAUCAAAACUCAUCUUAUACAGUUCCCUUCAGCUCAGGUAGGUCUCCCUGAUGGUGUUGAAAACAUGAAAGAUGGAAUUUCAUUUGAAAUACUAGGUAAAAUCACCCGCGCAAUAAUUAUGCUCCAGAAUCCAAUUGAGAUUUUGUUUCAAGAUCUUCAACCUGAUUGUAUUGUCACUGAUAUGUCGUAUCCGUGGACAGUGGAAGCAGCUGCAAAACUAGGUAUUCCAAGAAUUCAUUAUUACAGCUCAAGCUACUUCUCCAAUUGUGUUGCUCAUUUGAUCAUGAAGUAUAGACCAAAUGAUAAUUUAGUUUCUGAUACACAGAAAUUUACAAUUCCUUGUUUUCCUCAUACAAUUGAGAUGACUCCUCUGCAACUUCCUGAUUGGUUACAUGCAAAGAAUCCUGCCGCUGCCUAUUUUGAACCAAUGUUUGAAUCAGAGAAAAGAAGUUAUGGAACACUAUACAAUAGUUUUCAUGAACUUGAAAGUGAUUAUGAAAAAUUAAGUAACACUACAAUGGGGAUCAAAACUUGGAGUGUAGGACCAGUUUCAGCUUGGACUAACAAGGAUGGUGAAAAAAAGGCCAAAAGGGGACACAUAGAGGAACUUGGAAAAGAGGAAGAAUGGCUAAAUUGGCUUAACUCAAAGCAAAAUGAGUCUGUAUUAUAUGUAAGUUUUGGUAGCCUUGUUAGGUUUCCGCAUGCUCAGCUUGUAGAAAUUGCGCACGGGCUUGAAAACUCAGGUCAAAAUUUUAUCUGGGUUAUAAAAAAAUAUGAUAAAGAUGAAGAUGGAGAAGGUUUCCUGCAAGAAUUUGAGGAAAGGUUGAAAGAAAGCAAAAAGGGCUAUAUCAUAUGGAAUUGGGCAUCACAACUUCUGAUAUUAGAUCACCCUGCAACAGGAGGGAUUGUGACUCACUGUGGUUGGAACUCAAUUCUUGAAAGUGUGAACUCGGGUUUGCCAAUGAUCACGUGGCCGGUGUUUGCUGAGCAAUUUUACAACGAGAAGUUGCUUGUUGAUGUUUUGAAGAUAGGGGUCCCAGUAGGAGCAAAAGAAAACAAUUUAUGGAUUAACAUUAAUGUAGAGAAAGUGGUGAGAAGAGAAGAUAUAGUUAAGGCUGUAAAGAUUUUGAUGGGAAGUGACCAAGAGAGCAAAGAAAUGAGGAUGAGAGCAAAGAAACUUGGUGAUGCUUCCAAGAGGACUAUUGAGGAAGGUGGAGAUUCUUACAACAACUUGAUUCAGUUGAUUGAUGAGCUGAAAUCAUUAAAGAAAUCUAAGGCACUUGGUGUGAAAGCAGAUUAGAUAAGUCAAAUGAAGGAGUGAUGUUUGAUGCUUCAGGAGGUGUAGCAGAUGAAGGCUUUCAAUAAGAUGAAACAACAUCAAAGUAUUUUUCUCUAUUAUAGAGAUCGUAAUAUUGUAGCAGUUGUUAGUUUUUCCGUAUAAUGGUGGUCUUUGACAUCUCUUUUCUCAGGACUUUUCCUUUUUUAGGAUAGAUCCAGUUUUUCUUUUCGUAUAUUUUACCCAUUGUGACUCUGAUGUAUUGUUUCAGGCCUCUCCUCUCCUGUCUUUUAUAUAUAGUGCUUUGAAAAAAAUAAAAAAUUCUCUAUCAAUAUUUCCUGUUAUCUGUAGUCCAAUAAUCAACAUCCAAUCAUUCUUGUGCAUUGCGAUGAUGAUAAAAGAAGUUAGUGAGUGUUUGGUAUUUACUAAGCAUUUUUCAUUUUAUGCUAAGGAAAAGAUGUGAUGAUGAAUUAAGUUUUGUUGUCUACUUUGGUUUUCUUUAUAAUAUUUAUCAUUGCAUUGGUCAUAUUAAUUUUUCAUUGGUAAAUGAAUCUACCAUAGCUGCCAUUGAUUCAAUGAGUCCAGGACUACAAGGCUAUAAAUUAAAUGUGAUGCACAAAUUUGGUUUGUUUAGGAUCAAGAAUUUAGUUGAGACGUGUUCCACCUCAGUUUUACCAUGUACUAGGAUCUGACUCAGAUUUUACUUUAAGAAAACUGUUUUUUUCCUCCUUAAAAAGGAAAUAGCUCAUAAAGUAUGUCUUUAAACCUCAUCAGAAUUUCCAUUUUAUAAAGCAUAUGAUGAAGCGGGUUCAAUAAUGCUUUAACUGAUUUUUCCAUAACCUACUGGCCUUUUUAUUUGAUAGAUUGAGGAAAUGACAAUUAGUCAUUGGAAACACAGACACACUAAUGAAGGAACCAGAGUUUCAACCCAGAUCACAGCGUCCGACUUAACAAUUUCGACAUUUUUAUCGGUUAAACUGCUCUUAACCAUACCUAUAAACCCCUUACCGUUCAAGCUUGAUUAGUAAUACCAUGCUUGAUUUACUCAAUCACACAUGUUCUAUUUUUUUAUUAGGAUUUUAUCUACUAUACAUCUACAUAUACAAAGUUUUACUUUCAAGAAAAUCUAGGUUGUACUCUCGGAACAAAGUUUUACAAUUAAGAAAUAUAUUUGUUUUAAAAUUUUUAUUUUAAUUUUCAAUUCAUGUUAAUUUUUAAAAUAUUGAUUAUUUGUAAGGUUUUUGUUUUGAAAUGUUAAUACUUUAAAGAGUGCUAAGUAAGUUUUUUUUUUUUUUUUUCCUUUCUAUUUUGCACUUUUGCCAUUUUUUUUCUACGUCCCCACAGAUCUCCAAGGGAAUUCCAUCAACAUACAAAUACUCCUCACCGCAUGGUGUUUGUGAUCAUUUUUCUGUUCUGCUCGGGUUCGCGAUCGUGAUUUUUCUCAGGUUCUCCCUCUAAUUCCUGUUCGUGUUUCUCUUCGCUUUGUUUCCUCCAUACCCGCCUUGCCAUGUUUGAUUGGCAGGCAGAAUUGGCAGCUCCGGCCUCUAUGUCGUCGGCUCCCUCACAUACUACAUCUCCUCAGAUUGCUACGAUUGCUUCAUUGUCUGUCUCGGACUCUGCUCAGUUGAUUCCAGUCCCUCCGAAAUCCUUUGUGGCGGCAUUAGGGGGCUAUCGUUCUUCCCCUUUGGAAGAGUCUCCUUAUCUGGUUUCAUGCAUUAAGGGGGAUGCUCUUUCCAUUAGAAUUGAUCAGGAUGAAUAUUCUAAGGGCCUGGCAGAAUGUCAAUAUGCACUAAGCGGACAACUGACCUUGAAUAAAGGAAAUAAACCAUACACAGCUCAUGAUGGACCGUUGUAAUAUAUGAAUUAGUAGUUGAUACUCUCUUAUUUAAUAAUAUUAUUCAGUCUUUAUUCAGAAUUAUUUGUGUUCAUUGCUUUUCAUAUAAUUGCUUGUAUGACUAUUAACCCUAGCUUCUUGAAUUAUAUGAAUUGAUAUUAAGAAUUGAAUGACUAUUAACCCUAGCUUUUAAUCCUGAAUUAGUAAUUUUGUUUGAUUCAACAUAGGAACCUAGAGAUAGGAAAUUGAGAAUCAUGACAUAUGAAUUAACGUUCUUUUAUCGCUUCUGCAGUUAUUCAAUCAGUUUAAGAGAUUAAAAGGUUAUAACUUAGGAAAGGGUUUUGACUCAAGAGAUUGAUCAAAACUAAUUUGUUAAUUCGUCGUAAAGAAUGAAUAGUAAUUAGUAAAUAAGGGAGGUAAUUACUCAUAUAGAACAAUAGGGGAUUCAUCGGCUUAAUCAUUCUUCUUUAAUCAUCUUUUCAAACAACCUUUAUUUACUUUUGUUAUACAAAAAUCAUCUGCCUAGGGCAAUCAUAUAACUUUUACAUAUCCUAAAAUAAUAACGUGCUUGCUAUAAUUGGAAUUAAUACAGUCCUUGUGGAACGAUAUUUAUUACUACUUUGAUAGUUAUUGGUACACUUGCCAAUUAUCUAUCAUGAAGCCAUAUACAUGUAUAUGAUGGCAAUUCAUGCUUUAAUGCACGUGGUAAAUCAGUUUUUGAAUAUGAUGUGUGGUGAACAUGUUUUAAGAAACUUCAUUACCAGCAAGACAUAUUUUGCAUUUUUCCUAGUUUGUUACUUACCGAAUAUAUUUUGUUUUAUCUUUUUGUUAUGCAGUUAUUUGUUUUUCUCUUUUUGAUGUACCGGUACAAGCUCGAUUUUGAAUUUAGAGAUCACUUUGUUUCGGAAAAAAAAUUAUUUGUUUACUAUUUCUAUCAUUCACGGUUGAAAGUUUGUUCUUUUUCCGCUAAAGUUCAUUGAAUCCUUUGAAAUAUUAAAAUCCCAUAAAAUCCUUUGAAAUCCUUAAAAUUCAGUGUGAUAAAUCCCAUAAAAUCCUUAAAAGUCAGUGUGAUAAAUCCCUUAAAGUCUUUUAAAAUCUCACAUAAUCAAUACAAUCCCACAAAGUCUUUUAAAAUCCUAAUCCAAUACACCCCCCUAAAUUAGGCAAGGUUUGGAUGAUGGUUCACCAAUGGAAGAUGGUUUCGCUCGGUAAAGGAUACUAUGAUUUUCUUUUCGAGUAUCUUGAUAAUUUAAGUUGCAUUUGGGCGGCUGGCACUAUUUCACUUCAACUAGGUCUACUUUGUCUCUCUCAAUGGACGAAAGACUUUAACCACAACACUCAGAAACAAACUCAUGCUUCAAUAUGGAUUAGGCUAGUUGAGUUGCCUCAAGAAUAUUGGCGUGAUAGAACGUUGAAAGAAAUAGCUAGCGCCGUGGUUACUCCAAUCUCUCUCAACGCCCCGACAUGAAAUAGGGCCUUUGGACAUUAUGCAUGCAUUCUGGUGGACAUUGACUUGUCAAAGAGGGUUUAUAAUGAAAUUCUCGUUUAACGGGAGGGUUUCAACUUUAAGGUGGAAGUCCAAUACGAACGACGUCCGGUUUUCUGUCAUCACUGUUAUGUCAUUGGACAUAAUGCAUGAUGUGCAAGUUGUUGCACCCAGAGGCCUCUAAGGAUACAGAUCGUGGUAAAAAAAGUAACUGAACCAAAUAACAAAUCUACUCAUCAGCCCCAUGGUGCGAGAGGAGCUUCUUCCUCUGGUACAUUACAAUACGUGGUUGUUGUAACCGCACCAGCAGCUGCCACAGUUGGUGAGAAUGCUCCACAACCCUUUGUUCCCCAUAAAGAUGUUGUGGCAAGUUCUUUAAGUUUUGCUUUGCAAGACUUUUCAGAUGCGAUUCCUCAAGGUGUGUUACCUCAUUCAAACAUACCUGUGUUGGAAUUGGCGUCAGAUGUAGCGCACAAUGACAUACAAAAUUUUGAAGAGGAAAGAAUACUUCAGGAAACUAGGAUCGUUGACAUUCCAAAGGAUCAUGUUGAUUUUGUUCCGCCUGUUUACACCGUUGAGCACGUUGACGUGCAUGAAGAGGUGGGUGGUAAUGUUUUGUCCCAGGUUAGGGAGGUUAGUUCGUCCACUCAGACCACAGCUGCACAAGCUGACACUAUGGUGUCCCCUCAAGAUUUGGCAGCGGUCUAGUUGCCUGUACAACAUUUUCCCCACGAAGAUGCAGAUAUUGUUGUCGAUUCCGCACCUAUCAGCCUCCUGUGACAAAUUCUGAAAUGGUUAUGGAUGCCUCAUUGGAUGGAACUUGCGGUGACAUCACUUCAAGUCACAUUAUUACCUCCCGAUAGCCGGACCCAAAAUAGUAGGUGUUGGGAUCACGUCUGUCGUAACUGAAUCCACCGUUACAAUUGUUGUCUGACAUGAAAUCGAGUGGUGGUAUAGUAAAUCCACGUCCACCAAGUGGGCUACCGCGACAUUUCCUAUGUCGUCAUUGUUGUUGUUCUUGUCGCGAUUUGUAGUGUUGUUGGCGUUCCCGCCGCCACCUCCACGUCCUCCCGUAUGGGUUCUGCGGCCAACCCCAUGUCUACUUGCACCGUUGGGUCGAUUUGGAUUGAAGAGUGAAUCUUUCAAUUAAGUGGCCUAUGAAAAACUGGCGAUUAUUUAAUUGUUUUUAAGAUACACAUUAUUUAGUUGUUUUUUUUCUACCUUUUUAUAUCUAUGUGUGUGUCUAAAUCCUGUAACUAUCCUUUGAAAAAAAAAUCUUGUGACUAUCCAAAACUUUCUUCGGAAAAACAUUUUAUGUCACUCACCAAAACUAAAACUUAAAUAUCAACUCUCCAAGAAAUAAAACCACACAUCCACCUCAUAGAUUCCAAAAGCAACAAUGGACUCCCAAUAAUCCCAUAACAAACUUCAUGUAAUUUUUGUUCCAUAUCCAACUCCUGGCCAUAUGAAUCCCAUGAUAGCCACAUCAAGACUAUUUGCAAAGCAUGGUGUUAAUGUCACCAUAAUCUCGUGUAGCUCGUGUCAUUAUUUCAUAAUACCUCGUGUCAGACAAGGUUAAGCAUCCUUUACAAUGCAUAAUAAUAAAAAAAAUAAAAAAAAAAAUCAUCAUUAUUUCAUAAUACCUCAUUUGUUUAUUUCCUAAACCAUACUAGAUAGUGGUAUCGGUUUAGUGGAUUUUUUUUUAUGAAGCAUUGACAUGUGUAGCAAUGAUGGUUUCACUUAAAAUUAUAGAAAAAUACAAACAAUAUGUUGUUAAUUUUUUAUUUAUGGAAAGUCCUAACAAAUACCUUAAGGAUACUAGUUGAGGAAGUAAAUAUAGUUAAAAUAUUUUAAAAUUUGUAUAGUUAAAUUCAUAAUGUGUAAAAAAUAUCAUUUUCAAUACAAAUUUUACAUUUUUGUUUUCUUAACUAAUGUCCAAAGGCAAUAGUUGGCAUGAUCAUUUAUUUAUUUAUUUUAUGAUUGAUUCUAUCUAUACAACUUAAAAAAAUUCUAUCGUGCACAAGUAACAUAUAUUUUACAUCAUUCAUUAGUUUUUACAAUUGAAUUAAUAAAUUCAACCGGUAAUUGAAAUAUCAUAUGACUUAUUGAUUCAUUAGUAAAAAAAUAUUUGUUCAUAUUGUAAAAUUAUUUUAGUUGAGCAUGUUAGACAAAAUCAUGUUUUAUUAUGUAUCUAUUUUGUAUAGUACACCUUUUGCAGUCUUUUAUGUAUUUUUUUUUUUUUUUAUGUCAGCAUGUCCUUGAAGUCUUUUUUAUGUAUUUUAGUUGAGCAUGUUGUACAAUGCCUUCUUUUAUUAUGUAUUUAUUUAUGACAAAAUCAUAUCGUAACAUAUUAGUUUUAAGUUUAUUUUAAUCACACAUAAAUCUUUUAAGUUGUAAAAGUUUUGAUUUAGUCCUUCUGUCACAUUAUCAUUUUUAUAAUGUUUGGUUAACAGAAGGUCUAAAUAAAAAACGUUUACAAUCAAUCUUAAAGGACUUAUGUGUGACCAAAAUAAUUUAAAGGACCCAAUGUUACACACCUCAAACUUAAAGGAAUUAUGUGCUACUAAAAUAACUUAAAAAUCAAUCUGUUACAAAUUUUAAACUUAAUUGACCCCUAGUAUAAUUUAGCCUAAUUCUUUCUAUCAUACUUUUAUUGCGUUCUUAUUCUCUAUUGCAUUGGUUUUCGUGUCAAUACCUAUUACCUUGGUUGUUCCACAAUUUAGCGCAAAAUGGGCGUUCAAAUAAAAUAGCUCGGUAGAAAAACAAUCUAUCUUGGUCACAGAAAUAGAAACUGAACUUUAAAUAUCAACAAUCUCACAACCAACUUCAUAUAAUUUUUCUUCCAUUUCCAACUCCUGGUCAUAUGAUUCCUAGGAUAGACGCAGCAAAAAUUUACUAUUCAUGGUUUGCCUCAUACUAUUGAGAUGACUCCUCUGCAGCUUCCUGAUUGGUUAGGGACAAAUCAUUCUACCACUGCAUAUUAUAAACCAAUUUUUGAAUCAGAGAAAAAAAGUUACGGAACACUAUACAAUAGUUUUCAUGAACUGGAGAGUGAUUAUAAAAAACUUAGUAACACUAUCUUGGGGAUCAAAUCAUGGAGUGUAGGACCAGUUUCAUCAUUGGCUAACAAGGAUGAUGAAAAGAAGGGUAAUAGGGGACACAUGGAGGAGCUUGCAGAAGAGGAAGAGUGGCUAAAUUGGCUUAACUCAAAGCAAAUUGAGUCCGUACUGUAUUUAAGUUUUGGAAGUGUAACUAGGCUUGAUAAUGCUCAGAUUGUAGAAAUUGCACACGGUCUUGAAAAUUCAGAUCAUAAUUUUAUCUGGGUUGUAACUUAUAAGGAAAAAGGAAAGAGAUGAGAGUGAAAACACUUUCCUACAAGAUUUUGAGAAAGAAUGAAAGAAAGCAAAAAGGGAUAUAUCAUAUGGAAUUGGGCACCACAGCUUCUGAUAUUGGAUCACCCUGCAACAGGAGGGAUUGUGACUCACUGUUGUUGGAACUCAAUUCUGGAAAGCGUGAACUCGGGUUUGCCAAUGAUCACAUGGCCAAUGUCUGAGGAGCAAUUUUACAAUGAGAAGUUGCUUGUUGAUGUUUUGAAGAUAGGGGUCCAAGUAGGAGCAAAAGAAAACAAGUUCUAGAUUAACAUUAGUGUAGAUGAAAUGGUGAGAAGGGAAGAGAUAGUUAAGGCUGUGAAGAUUUUGAUGGGAAGUGGCCAAGAGAGAAAAGAAUAAAUUCAGCAUCACCAAGCUGAAUCAACUGAAUGAAGGUAUUCCAAAGUGAGCCUGUAUUACUAAAUAGAAACCAUGCUUCAAUUUUCAAUUCUAUUAUAACCUACGAAAGCAUUCAGAGUUUUCCCACAACACACUCAGCAUCACAUCAGAGUUCACUGAUACUUCUCAUUAAAGGCAUGUUUGGUGUUCGAUACAAUGUGAUUACACUUGGUUAUGUUAUUUUUUAAAUUCCUAUCAGUGUCAAUGUGUCAUUGUCGUGUUUGGUGUCUGUGUCAUUGUUUCAUACAUUAUCAUACACUUUUUCUCAUAAGUUAUGAGGAUUUUCUCAUGUUGUUUUAAAUAUAUAGCUUUCUAUAUAACAACAUGAUGAAGAUCCUCAACAUGUUGUCAAAAAUACAAAGAAACACACCAAAGAAACUAUGCAAAUUUUUGUCAUUGUGCUGAGGGUCUACCUAAUGUUGUCGCAAAUAGAUAGCUCUCUAUUUAACAGCAUUAUGUAGAUCUUCAGCAUGCUUUCAAAAAUGUUGCUCUCUAUUUGAAUACCAAGAGGUUUGCUAUGAGUUAGAUCUUAUUGCCUUGGCGAUAGAAAUAUCUCAGUUGGCAAGGCAGCAGGAUCUAACUCAAAACAAUCAUCUUGAAACACCUUGUUGUAGAUCUGAAUUUGAAAAAGUUUUUAUGAGAGCUCGACCCAGAUGGCCUUCCGAUAGAUAUAUGUCAGUUGGCAGGCCAGCUGGAUCGAGUUCAAAAGCACCUCUUCGAACAUCAUCCUAGAAUAUGUUGUUGUUUAUGUUUGUUUUAAGCUGCUUACUUUUUUUAUGCAUUUAUUAAUUAUUGUUUAUGUCACAUUCCAUGAAAACUCUCUAAAUAACCCCUCCAAAUAGGCAUUAUGGUGUUGUCCGGAUUAUACAAUCCGGAAUGUUUUGGACGGUGCAUUUCACCAAAGGUUUGGCCAGUUAGUGGGUUUUAAUGCGUUGUUUGGACGGUUUUGAAUGACUAACAUGUUUUGCUUGAUUGUACUUAUGACCUAGGACAUGUUUUAGGUUAUAAAUAGGCAUGCAUGUUCAACAAAUUCCUUCAUUCUUCACUUCACCUUUUUACUUUCAUUUUCUUCAAAAAAAAUUAGUUUUGUAGGGCUGUUUGUGAUGUCAUGGUCAUAGUUGACCGUUCAUAUAACCCCUACAAUUGCUUUGCAGCUUAUGCGGGGGUUAUAUAACGGUCAACAGAGACCUUUAACAUCAAAGAAAACACCAAAAAUCUCAUAUCGAAACUAUACGAAUUUUGUUUUCCGGAAAUCUUUAACAAUCUAGUUCGGAUUACAUAAUCCGAACUAGGGGUAUUUUUGAUUUUUUCGUAGGGCGCACGAGAAACAGGCAGGGUGAAAAAAAGUAAUAGUCUAAAUGUUAUUAACCAAAAAAGUCAAAGGGGUUUAAAGCAAGGAGACUCGUUGGGCCUUUCUUGAUUCUUUUAUUGGCAGAGGUUUUUGGUGGUUUGAUGAAAAAUGUGGUUAAUUUGAAUUUGUUUAAUGGUUUUUAGGUGGGGAGGGAUGGUUUGACGGUUUCCCAUAUUCAAUAUGUGGAUGACACCCUUUAUAAGGAGAGGCGUCAGGGACAAUCUUUGACCCAUGAAAGGUUUGUUAAGAGGUUUUGAGCAACUGUCGGGUUUGAAGGUUAAUUUCUUCAAGAGUUGGGAGUUCGUGGAUACAGUUUGUAGUUUUUCCUUGUUUGAGUCUUCUGAUUGAGGCAAAUACUAGGUAGUUUCUUCAAUUCGCUUCACUACUUGGUUUGUGCGAUGAAAGCUUUCAAUAUGCAUUUUAAAAACAAAAUCUAAACCUAUCACUCCACCGGGGCAUUUCACCAAACAAUAUGUGUUAAUUCUCAAUAAAACCUAGGAAUACAAAAACAAAUACAUUGCAAAGAUUUUCUUAUACAUACAUACCUCAUUCAUUCCUAACUUCAAAAUGGAUUAACUAUUCAGCAAAAACAUUAAAAUUGUUUAUGAGUCAAUCCCAUGAAUUCGGAAUAUCUGCUAAAAGGAAGACCGGCAGAGGCCGGUUCUUUCGAAUUUUCAAAAAAAUAAAAAAAAAACUAUGUUAAACGUUAUUAUAUACUCUUAGCUAUUACCAAAUGAUUCCUUUACAUUUUUAUUGUUUCAUUUUUUUUUAAUGUUUUUUAAAGAUGAUAUUAAUCUCGUCAUUCUCCGACAAACCUCCAUGUACUCAGCUCCCUUAUAUUCUUAAUUUUUUUAUUAUUUUGAAUAUCUAUUAAAUUUUUUUUUUUAUGAAAGAUGAAUAUCUAUUAAUUUUGAAUAUAUCUUAUAGCUUUUAAAUAUCUUCUAUAUAUAUAUAUAUAUAUUAUGCAUGUGAGAAUUUAUUUUUUCCUCAUUAAAUAAUAUUCCUACUAAGUUUCCUCUAAGCUAAAUUCUUGGUUCCGUGAAAACAUUAAACUAAGUCUUUGAACUAACAAAUUUUUCUUAAUAACCUAUUUAAAAAUAUGUUUUAGUUGAGUAACCUAUUUAAUUUUUUUAAAUAGUUCACAUAUUUAUAUAAUAAUUAAACCUUUAUUAAAAUAGCCUACAAACUAUUCCAUAAAUUUUAAAAUACAUGUCGUAGUCAACCAUUUCACACAUGCCAAAACACAACUUUGACCGUUGAUAUCUUUAAUCACCUAUAGUAAAAAAAUUAUAAAAACUUAAUAUUUUGUAAAUAGUUAUCAAAACAAAUCGAACAACAUCUUAUAUUUUGUAAAUUAUAAAAUCAAUGCAUGUCCCACCACCUCAUGUGGGUUUCAUUUUCAAAGUGUAGGUCCUACGUUGAUUUUACCCAAUAAAAGAGUGAGUGUUAGAGAAAGUGUUCAAAAGAGAGUGUUGUUAUCACUCCUCAUGCUAACAUUUGUAUUUAAUUAUAUACUAAAGUUAAAAAAUUGAAUCAAAGUAAGUUAGGUGAACAGUGCACAUUGAAACAAUGUGACAAAUAUUAUUAAGUGACACAAUUGACCUUGUCACACAUACCAAUGCAAAUUUUGAUCUUAAAUAACUUUACUGAUCUCUUAGAAAAAAAAUAUAAAAAUUUUAUUUUUUGAAAAUAUUCAUCGAGAGAAUCCAACGACAUCUUAUAUGAAAUUAUUUAUCUUUGUAUAUUAGUAGAAAAAUACGAUCAAUUUUUUUUUUUUUCGAAGGAACAGUCAAUAAUGCAUAUUUUCAAAUAUGUCAUCUAUUAUAGGACAGAGGGAGUAAUGUUUUGACAUAUCGCAUGGAUAGAUGUCAUGUAAUAUAAUAAUGUCACAUCAAUGUUUUUCUGUGAGGUCGUAUUAUCAAUGUUCUAAUGUAACACUCUCUAGAACAUAUUUACUCUUGGUUUCCUCAUUACUAUUUUUUUAAUAGGGUAUCACCAAGUGUAUAAAUUAGAGAAAAGGUGACUGAACAGCUGCCUCUUUUUUCUUAAGGAGGUGUACACACAAACACAAUUCUUAAUUACUUAACAAAGAAGGAAUGGAAGCAAACAAAGUAAUAACCAUUUUUCUUUUGCUUUUGAAUACUAUUGUGGGAUGAAGAGGUGGCAUGUUCCCACUUUGAAAAACAAUUAAUCUCAGCCACAAAAACUACCUUUAAAUACCAACUCUUCAAGUAACAGAAACACCCUACCAUCUCAAAGUUUUCAAAAGCAAUAAUGAAAUCUCAACAAUCCCAUAACCCACUUCAUGUAACUUUUCUUCCAUUUCCAUCUCCUGGCCAUAUGAUUCCUAUGAUUGACACUGCAAGACUAUUAGCCAAACAUGGUGUUAAUGUAACCAUCAUUACUACACAUGCCAAUGCUUCAACAUUCCAAAAAACCAUAGACAGUGACUUCAGUUUAGGAUACUCCAUCAAAACUCAUCUUAUUGAAUUCCCUUCAGCUCAAGUUGGUCUUCCAGAUGGUGUUGAAAAUCUCAAAGAUGGAACAUCCUCAGAAAUUCUUAGUAAAAUCAACCGUGGAAUAUCGAUGCUUCGAGAUCCGAUUGAGGUUCUGUUUAAAGAUCUUCAACCAGAUUGUAUAGUCACUGAUAUGAUGUAUCCUUGGACAGUGGAAGCAGCUGCAAAACUAAACAUUCCAAGGAUUCACUUUUAUAGCUCAAGUUACUUCUCCAGCUGUGCCUUUCAUUUUAUCAUGAAAUAUAGGCCUCAUGAUAAUUUAGUUUCUGAUACACAGAAAUUUACUAUUCCUAGUUUUCCUCAUACCAUUGAGAUGACCCCUCUGCAGAUUCCUGAUUGGUUAAGGGAAAAGAAUCCUGCCACAGCCUAUUUUGAACCAAUUUAUGAAUCAGAGGAAAAAAGCUAUGGCACACUAUACAAUAGUUUUCAUGAACUAGAAAGUGAAUAUGAGAAACUUUGUAAUACUACAAGGGGGAUCAAAUCUUGGAGUGUAGGACCAGUUUCAGCUUGGGCUAAAAAGGAUGAUGAAAAGAAGGGUGAUAAGGGGCACAUAGAGGAGAAUGGAAAAGUGGCAGAGUGGCUAAAUUGGCUUAACUCAAAGCAAAAUGAGUCUGUACUUUAUGUAAGCUUUGGAAGUUUAACUAGGCUAACUCAUGCUCAGCUUGUAGAAAUUGCACAUGGGCUUGAAAAUUCAGGUCAUAAUUUUAUCUGGGUUGUAAGGAAAAAUGAUAUGGAUGAGAGUGAAAACAGUUUCCUACAAGAUUUUGAGGGAAGGAUGAAAGAAAGCAAAAAGGGCUAUAUCAUAUGGAAUUGGGCACCACAGCUUCAGAUAUUGGAUCACCCUGCAACAGGUGGAAUUGUGACUCACUGUGGUUGGAACUCGAUUCUUGAAAGCUUGAAUGCUGGUUUGCCAAUGAUCGCGUGGCCAAUGUUUGCCGAGCAAUUUUACAAUGAGAAGUUGCUUGUUGAUGUUUUGAAGAUAGGGGUCCGAGUUGGAGCAAAAGAAAACAAGUCAUGGGAUAGUAUUUGUGUAGAGGCGAUGGUUAGAAGGGAAGAGAUUGCAAAGGCUGUUGAGAUUUUGAUGGGAAGUGGACAAGAGAGCAAAGAAAUGAGGAUGAGAGCAAAGAAACUUGGUGAUGCUUCCAAGAGGACUAUAGAGGAAGGUGGACA